ensembl:lncRNA
ACAGGAUCCGGCACCAAAAUCGCGUCAGGCAGAAGGAAUGUGUGUAUAGAGAGAGAGAGAGAGAGAGAGAGAGAAUGUGUGUAUAGAGAGAGAGAGAGAGAGAGAGAGAGAGAAUGUGUGUAUAGCGAGAAAGAGAGAGAGAAUGUGUGUACAGCUCGAGAGAGACAGAGAGAGCGAGGAUGUGUGUAUAGCUCGAGAGAGAGAAUGUGUGUAUAGCGAGAGAGAGAGAGAAUGUGUAUAUAGCUCAAGAGAGAGCGAGAAUGUGUGUAUAGCUCGAGAGAGAGAAUGUAGAGAGAGAGCGAGAAUGUGUGUAUAGCGAGAGAGAGAGAGAGAGAGAGCGAGAAUGUGUGUAUAGCUCGAGAGAGAGAAUGUGUGUAUAGCUCGAGAGAGAGAAUGUGUGUAUAGCGAGAGAGAGAGAGAGAGCGAGAAUGUCGAGAGAGAGAGAGCGAGAAUGUGUGUAUAGCUCGAGAGAGAGAAUGUGUGUAUAGCGAGAGAGAGAAUGUGUGUAUAGCUAGAGAGAGAAUGUGUAUAUAGCUCAAGAGAGAGAGAGAAUGUGUGUAUAGCUCGAGAGAGAGAGAAAGAGACAGCGAGAAUGUGUGUAUAGUUCGAAAGAGAGAGAAUGUGUGUAUAAUUCGAGAGAUAGAGCGAGAAUGUGUGUAUAACGAGAGAGAGAGAGAAUGUGUGUAGCUCUCUUUCUCGAGAGCAAGAGUGUGUGUAUAGCGCGCGCGAGAGAGAGAAUGUGUGUAGCUCUCUCUUGAGAACGAGAAAGAGUGAAUGUGUGUAUAGCUCUCUCUCUUUCUCGCGAGAGAGCGAGAGAGAAUGUGUGUAUAGCUCUCGAGAGAGAAUGUGUGUAUAGCUCUCGAGAGAGAAUGUGUGUAUAGCUCUCGAGAGAGAAUGUGUGUAUAGCCAGAGAGAAAGCGAACAGAUUAUUAGGUAUGCUCUUUAAUCAACGCCAGAUUGUUAAAGAGGUAUGUGUUAUGGAUCAGACCCACAUGUUAUCAAUGUUGG